rnacentral:rRNA from 1 species
AUUCUGGUUGAUCCUGCCAGAGGUCACUGCUAUCGGGGUUCGACUAAGCCAUGCAAGUCGAGAGGGGUAAAGCCCUCGGCGAACUGCUAAGCCCUCGGCGAACUGCUCAGUAACACGUGGAUAACCUGACCUAGGGUGGAGGAUAACCCCGGGAAACUGGGGAUAAUACUCCAUAGGCUACGGAAGCUGGAAUGCUCUGUAACCCAAAGCUCCGGCGCCCUAGGAUGGGUCUGCGGCCGAUUAGGUUGUUGUUGGGGUAACGGCCCAACAAGCCGAUCAUCGGUACGGGUUGUGGGAGCAAGAGCCCGGAGAUGGAUUCUGAGACAUGAAUCCAGGCCCUACGGGGCGCAGCAGGCGCGAAAACUUUACAAUGCGGGAAACCGUGAUAAGGGGACCCCGAGUGCCUGUACACGCAGGCUGUUCAGGUGUUUAAAACGCAUCUGGAGAAAGGGCCGGGCAAGACCGGUGCCAGCCGCCGCGGUAAUACCGGCGGCUCGAGUGGUGGCCACUAUUACUGGGCUUAAAGCGUCCGUAGCCGGGUUGUUAAGUCUCCUGGGAAAUCCAACGGCUCAACCGUUGGGCGUUCAGGGGAUACUGGCAAUCUAGGGAUCGGGGGAGGUGAGAGGUACUCUAGGGGUAGGAGUGAAAUCCUGUAAUCCUUGGGGGACCACCUGUGGCGAAGGCGUCUCACCAGAACGACUCCGACGGUGAGGGACGAAAGCUGGGGGAGCAAACCGGAUUAGAUACCCGGGUAGUCCCAGCUGUAAACGAUGCGCGUUAGGUGUAUCGGUGACUACGAGUUACCGACGUGCCGAAGAGAAAUCGUGAAACGUGCCGCCUGGGAAGUACGGUCGCAAGGCUGAAACUUAAAGGAAUUGGCGGGGGAGCACCACAAUGGGUGGAGCCUGCGGUUUAAUUGGACUCAACGCCGGGAAGCUCACCGGGUAAGACAGCGGAAUGAUCGCCGGGCUGAAGACUCUGCGUGACCAGCUGAGAGGAGGUGCAUGGCCGUCGUCAGUUCGUACUGUGAAGCAUCCUGUUAAGUCAGGCAACGAGCGAGACCCACGCCAACAGUUGCCAGCAUGUCCUCCGGGAUGAUGGGGACA